CCUACGGGUGGCAGCAGUGGGGAAUAUUGCACAAUGGGCGAAACCCUGAUGCAGCGACGCCGCGUGAAGGAAGAAGUAUUUCGGUAUGUAAACCUCUAUCAGCAGGGAAGAAAAUGACGGUACCUGACUAAGAAGCCCCGGCUAACUACGUGCCAGCAGCAGCGGUAAUACGUCGGGAGCAAGCGUUAUCCGGAUUUACUGGGUGUAAAGGGAGCGUAGGCGGCGAUUCAAGUCAGAAGUGAAAGCCCGGGGCUCAACUCCGGGACUGCUUGUGAAACUGUAUGGCUAGAUUGCAGGAGAGGCAAGCGGAAUUCGUAGUGUAGCGGUGAAAUGCGUAGAUAUUAGGAGGAACACCAGUGGCGAAGGCGGCUUGCUGGACUGUAAAUGACGCUGAGGCUCGAAAGCGUGGGGAGCAAACAGGAUUAGAUACCCGAGUAGUC
rnacentral:rRNA from 1 species